GGGGGUGAACAGGUUUCGACGUCGGUAGUAGAGGUGUCGGAAGCGAGCCGAGGUCACCGGAGUCCUCGUUAAACAGCCGGUAACAACCAUAAGUGCCAAGCCAAACCUUGCACUGGCUGCCUAGAUAAAGGUAGCCCGUCCCCCGGAGGGGUUCCUGCCCCCUUCGGAGUGGGCGUCGCUCAGCAGGAUGGACUCUCCGGGAUGCCCGGACCAGAGAGUUGAGAUCAAUCCGGGUGUAGGGCGGACGGUCACUCGCCGAUGGAGUCCGACCGCCUGAAGGCUCGCCAUCGGCUGCGCUCGGAGAGGCCGCCACCGAAGUAUCGACGGACCGGGGUUCGAUUCCCCGCACCUCCACCU
rnacentral:tmRNA from 1 species